UUUUUAUACCGCGAAACUGCUAAACAAAUCUGCAAAAUUAUACCCCAUGGUGUAACAAUUUUAACCUUCCAAAACAUUCACUGUAAGCCGCACGAUUCCCUAUAAAAUAACAUAGGUCUGUCAGUAAGUCAUGUAAUUAAAAGUACCUUAUAUCGCUAGAUGGCGUCAUCAUUUUUUAAUACCGAUACGAUCGACACGUAUUGUUUUUCAGGUCAUACGAAGUAUAAUAUGCAUUAACUUCAAUCGGUAACUACCUAAAAAUAAGUUAUUAACUUAUUCUAGGGGUGGUUUAGUCUGGAACUUUAAAAAAAAUUGAUUUCUUUUUACAUUUUCUCAGUGUAGACCUUUAAAAAUAUAUCUGCCAACGGAUUUUGUUGAAUUCGAAAAAUUAACGAAGUUAGUUACUAGAAUCAAGUUUAAUUGGAUCCUAAAUUUCAAAUUUAUUUGCAGUUUUUACUACACUUUUUCGUUGGUAAUGAUAAAAAUGUACAAAAGUGACAUGCAUUUUCAACAAGCAAUGUCUAAAAACGUGGGAGUUCCCCUUUUUACAGCAAAUUUUUAUUUUGAACAGUCCUUAUUUUUAAAAAUCUAUUAAACUGAAAACCGUGUAAAUCGAUGGUUAGGUGUAGUUUAAUCCUUCGAUAAAUGAUCUAUUUUGUUUCCUAUAUGAUGCAAGGUCUUGAUGAAAGCAGAUGAAAUAUGAUUUUGCUGUAUUAUUGUUUUGCGAAUUAUUUUCUCGACGGAUCCAACGAACCCUGGAAUCGAUAUCUGCAUCGCGUAAUUAUUGUUCACCCUUCCCCCUGUUUUUCGAUACAUAUACGUACACAAGCGACCUAUGGCUGUCACAGGUAUAGAAGGGACAAUAUAGAUAUGGAUCUCGCGUCUGUCAUAUUUAUUUCUGUGUUUAAUUACUAACGUUUUCUUGAUUAUCGUAGCUAAGUUUUGCAUCGAACGAAGACAUCGCUUCCGCCGUAGGAACCGUAGCUCUAAGUCGCGUCGGUAGAAUAUAAAUUAAACUAGCUUAAACUAAGUUAAGUUAGUUCUAAGGCCCGCGUAUACAAUUGUCAGUCCUCUACCAAAUAAUUAUUAAUCAAGUUCGUUUGGUGGUUCAUAGGUCCAUAUUGGAAUCGUAACUUCGAUAAAAAUUAAUUCUGCGCAGCCGUCAAUCGGUUUGGCGCGUGUGACCAAGCGCGUGCCGUAAAGGUGGAGAGGUAACGGGACCUAAUGACUUUCCCCUUAAACCGCACGAAUUCGUGUAUCCAGGUGUACCUUUUCUGCAUGUUGUAUGAUAUAAAUUUAUUUAUUGCACUUUACAGGCGUAUAGCUCUCAUAGAAGAGUCUACGAUUUGACAUCGUUCGCUUUAGCGCCGCUUUCUUUAUUGGUACCUUCGGACGUCAUUGCGUAACAAGGGACCUGCUUCCGGCGACGAUUAGAUAGCGGCGAGACCAAAAAGACACGGAAAGAAACCAGUUUUUAAGGAGUGUCAUUAAGGGAAACACCGCUGUUUCGACUUCAGUGUCAAGAGUAAUUUACGGUUAUUCGAAUGGUGACAUCGUUACGUUGUUGACGUCGAAACCUGAGUCGUAUAUUUUCGGAAGACAACACCUGUGAUUUUGUUCGACGAGUAUCUCGAGUAGCAUCUGUUUCUUCAUUACGCCAGUGUAUGCCCUUAAUGGGAGUCAAGGUCUUUGUACAGCCGCUGCAGAUCAAUAUGUAAUACACAAUGUACGCACGAGCGUCAUGCAAGGUCUCUUCAAGAUAAAAGACGCGAAACGAUGGCCCUGUAGCGAUUAAAGCAGUUGACGUUUGCAGGCUCGUUUAGAGGCCAAAUCUCGAGCAUUCGUGUACGACAGAUGUUCCAAAUUAUUAAGCAUUGAUUCAGUUUUCACUAGGCCCAACCCUAACCGUUGGAAUCGUUCUCUUAAAAACCUUCGACAUCGAUUACAUAUCCGUGAACGAGUACGCGAAGGACUAAAUUGUUAUAAUCUUCUAUUUAUACGCGACAUCGACCAUGGAGUUCUGUCAAAGGUGACGGAAAGCCCCUGAAAAUUUAUCUAUAUCCAUCGUUAACAGCGUAGAAGGACGUUUAUUGUUACCUUGGUCGUUAUCGCCCUGUUAUCGUGGCGCAUAAAAAAGAAACUCACGAAAGACAAUUUUAACACCCUUGUAAAAGCAUUUCGCCUAAUCAAUUCGGUCGUUAAGAUUAAAAGGGUACAUUCAUUACCUCCGGGCUCGAUAAAUUGCCGCGCCGUUUCGCGGGAAACAUUAAUCAUCCUCGGAACACUUAGCCACCGAACAAUUACGAAUGAAAUUACCAAUCGACUGUAAAUGUAACCUUUCAAGGAAUUCACGAACGAUCUUACCUCGCGAAAUAGGAACACGACCUUCGUGAAAAUACGUUCGUUUUCCUUAUUUUUUCCUACGUAAAACUGUAUUGCAAAACACGUCGCAAAUUUCCUGUAGAAAGAUAAUCGAGAAUAAGCUUGAGCUACCCGCAUACGCGCACGAUAAUAACCUUAUCCGUUAUGUACCAUAUCAAUUAGCAAAAUGUGUUGCUCGCUAUGAUUUAUAACCACUGCACAGUUUUAAAAUGUAUCAACCUAUCGUACCGAGACUGUUGGAAUGCGAUACGAAUAUCUAUCGCGUCUCGUGAAAACUACACGAAGGGUUCUAGGUGUUCGGGAUACAUGGAGCGACCAUCAAAAAACCGACGGUGCUAAACAGAGCGUCCAACCAAUCGGAAACACCACGUUCCAUCCAUGCGAAGAAAUCUCGUCAACUCUGAAAAGGUGAUCGCGACUCCAUUGUCGGCCGACGUCCCGAUCCAGAUGCAACGUUAUCGCUCAUCCUCGACGAGGGUCUUCGACGCACGUUCGUUGGGCCGAUUUCAUUGAUCGCGCGGUGCGUUCUCAUCGGGAGCCCCCGGUGCACAUUUAUUGUCAUCGGGAUCGCUAACGCGCGAUGCCCUUUUACGCGAAGCGCAGGGAAAAAAAGAAUAAAGGAAUAGAAAAAACGGAAACGAGAAAUCACCGAACAAUACCCGGAGCCAGAUAACAGCACCAAGCGCUGACGAGCACGUAGGUGGGGAACACGAGACACACGAUGUGGAAUAAAUAGUGGCCUGAAAUCGAGCGGAAUUCAGUCGCACCGCUGUUGUACUAUCGUCGUUGGCGUUUAUUCACGACGAACUCGUCAGAGGUCAUCGUGAAAUCGGUCGAUCCCACGCACCGUCAGGAGUAGAACGAUAAGUACCAGCAAGCGACCUGUUCACGUUACAUCGUCGAAAGACUACCACGAGAGUUACCAGUGCCGACUGCCUUCGAUUCAUGGUCCUGUCAGCCCAGUCUGAGAAUGAUACCGUUUCUGUUGCCCCUGCUGCUGGCCCCUGUACUCCUGGCCGACGGAUUCUUUUUCGGCUUCAGACCGGUCACCCCCAAAGAUGAGGACAGAAGGGGGUUCGACGUUUAUUGGAACGUGCCCACCUUCAUGUGCCACAAAUAUGGGAUGCGCUUCGAGGAGGUGUCCCAGAAGUAUGGGAUCCUCCAGAACGCGAUGGACGAGUUCCGAGGGGGACGGAUAGCGAUCCUCUACGAUCCUGGGAUGUUCCCAGCGUUGCUGAAGGACUCGAACGGAGCAGUUGUGGCAAGGAAUGGCGGCGUUCCACAAGAAGGCAACCUCACCAAGCAUCUGGAAGUAUUUCGCGAGCACCUGAUCAAUCAAAUACCCGACCAAUCGUUUCGUGGUAUCGGGGUGAUCGACUUCGAGAGCUGGAGGCCAAUAUUCCGGCAAAAUUGGGCUUCCCUCCAACCGUACAAGGAUUUCUCCAUGGAGAUAGUUCGCAGGGAGCAUCCAUUCUGGGACAGUAGGAGCGUCGAGCAGGAAGCAAAACGGAGCUUCGAGAAGUACGGAAAACUUUUCAUGGAGGAAACAUUGAAAGUUGCCAAGGAGACCAGGCCGGCUGCCAGUUGGGGCUACUACGCCUAUCCCUAUUGCUACAAUCUGACACCGAACCAACCCAGUGCGCAGUGCGAUAAAACGACAGUGCUGGAGAAUGAUAAGAUGUCAUGGUUGUUCGGGCUCGAGGAUGUUCUCCUGCCUUCGGUGUACUUGAGGUGGAGCCUGACCAGCAGCCAACGAGUGGGCCUCGUCAGCGGUAGGGUGAAGGAGGCCCUGAGGAUAGCGCAGCAAACGACACCCAGGAAAAAGGUUCUUCCCUAUUACUGGUACAAGUACCAGGAUCAGAGGGACGCGUAUUUGAAUAAGGCUGAUCUCGAGGCCACUCUUCGGAAGAUCUCGGAUCUCGGUGCCGACGGUCUCAUCAUUUGGGGAAGCUCUAACGAUAUCAACACCAAGGAGAAGUGCCAGCGGUUCAGCGAGUACCUGAACAACGAUCUGGGCCCCGUCGUCGAUCGCGUCAGGCAAACUGCUCUGAGCUUGACCCGAUACGACGGCCAUGCUGCGGACAAUCGAGUAGCCGUCGUCGUCGAUCAAGUUUGACAGAACGCGGAGAUUAGGAUCUUGUUAGAGAAAUGCGACGGGGGUCUUUAGUUUCUAAUUCUUACGUGUACGAUUAUCAUACAUGACGCGCGUGGAACAGUUCGACCUUCGAUGGAGAAAGACGCUGGACGCGAGGUGUAUCGCUGAAACCAAAGACGACUAGACGAGACGUUGCUUUGCAGGGUCACACGACGCGGUGUUGAGCAACGAUCGAAAUAAAUUUCCUACGAAAUUAUCGCUUCUUUCAUUCUCCCCUUGGAACGCGGAGUCCGCCAUUGACGGUUGCGAAACUUCGAACUCGUCGCCAUCUUAAUAUUCGUCCCCUGAUCAGAUUCUCCGGUUCGUCCGUAACGAUGUACUCGAUGGAUCGAUACGAGGACAAGCUUCUCAUCGAUCGAUCUUCUGGACCUCCAAAAUCUUUAUCACCGUCGCUGCGAAGCACAAAUGAAACUGGCGGUCGGAGCUCGCGACGAGCGCACUUUAGCACUAGCGUACGACAAGUUUUACUGGUUCGAGGUGUAAGGCCUCGGGCGAUCUUGCUUUUUACAGUACACACCGACGUCGUUGUAGAGGAUACCUGAAGGAACUGGGAGGACGAGAAAGAUAGAGAACGGAACGGGAACGGCGCGGAACCGAACGUACCGAGUAGAAGGAGGAGCUGAAGGAGAC